AUGAGAGAUGCGAGGGAGAAGGAGUGAGUGAGAGAGAUGUGAGGGAGAUGGAGUGAGUGAGAGAGAUGAGAGGGAGAAGGAGUGAGUGAGAGAGAUGUGAGGGAGAAGGAGUGAGUGAGGGAGAAGGAGUGAGUGAGAGAGAUGUGAGGGAGAAGGAGUGAGUGAGAGAGAUGCGAGGGAGAAGGAGUGAGUGAGAGAGAUGCGAGGGAGAAGGAGUGAGUGAGAGAGAUGCGAGGGAGAAGGAAUGAGUGAGAGAGAUGCGGGGGAGAAGGAGUGAGAGAGAUGCGAGGGAGAAGGAGUGAGUGAGAGAGAUGCGAGGGAGAAGGAGUGAGUGAGAGAGAUGCGACAGGGGAGAAGGAGUGAGUGAGAGAGAUGCGGGGGAGAAGGAGUGAGUGAGAGAGAUGCGGGGGAGAAGGAGUGAGAGAGAUAUGGGUCCAAGCCCCUGUUCCCCUGCUGUUAAAUCCCAACAAAAUCCAGACUUGUUUACAGUGGGGGUUCAGCUCAGCCAAAGCCCUACGGUAGAUCCAGUACAGUACUCUGCUUGUGAGC
ensembl:lncRNA